UGCAGGAUGAUGAGGAAUUUCUCCUCGCUCCAGGCUAUUGUGUCAGCCAUGCAGUCAAUCUCCAUCUACAGGCUGAAGAGGACCUAGGACACUGUUUCCAAGGACAGCAUGUUGAUGUUUGAAUAGCUUUCAACAAUCUUCUCCUAUGAGAACAACCAAGAGAGGAGUCAGGAGUUGCUAAUGAAGGGAGUGAUGCAAGGCACCGUGCCAUUUCUGAGAACAUUCUUGACUGACUUGAUGAUGCUGGACUCCG